rnacentral:rRNA from 1 species
UAAAAAGGUACUCAAGGGCACACAAUGGAUGCCUUGACACGUAAUACCGAUGAAGGACGUGGAAGACUGCGAUAAGUUUCGGGGAGCUGUCAACAAGCUUUGAUCCGGAAAUUUCCGAAUGGGGAAACCCGGCUAGAGUCAUGUCUAGUCACCGUUACCUGAAUAUAUAGGGUAAUCGAGAGGGAACCCGCUGAACUGAAACAUCUUAGUAGGCGGAGGAAAAGAAAGUAAAUAACGAUUCUCGGAGUAGUGGCGAGCGAAACGGGAAGAGCCCAAACCUUAUAUACUUUUGUCUGCCCACUUCCUUGGAUUUAUCCUGGGAAGCAGGCAUAGAAAAAGUCGCACUAUGCGAUUUUUUCUAAGAAAGACAAGUAAGCUGACAGGCGAAUGUAUAGAAGGGGUUGUGAGAUAACACAAGACCAUGUCAUAGGACUUAACCUCGGUUGAGCACUAUGACAUGCGAUACUGAGCUGUCACUUCAGUAGUAAAGUAAAAAAUUAGCGUUGUUAGUAGAAGCUUCUGGAAGGGAGCGCCAAAGGACGUGAGAGCCGUGUAUACGAAAACGACGCUAGCUUUAUAUGUGUUUUCUCGAGUAGGCCGGGACACGAGAAACCCUGGUUGAAACCGGCUGGACCACCAGCCAAGGCUAAACAUAUUACGUGAUCGAUAGUGAACAAGUACGGCGACGGAAAGGUGAAAAGAACCCCGGGAGGGGAGUGAAAUAGAUCCUGAAAUUGUGUGCCUACAAGGAGUCGGAGCCGAUUUAUUCGGUGACGGCGUGCUUUUUGUAGAACGAUCCAGCGAGUUAAUUUGUAGUGCAAGGUUAAGUCAAUUGACGGAGCCACAGUGAAAGCGAGCCUGAAUAGGGCGAAUUAGUACUACGGAUUAGACCCGAAACCGGGUGACCUAACCAUGGCCAGGCUGAAGCUGCGGUAACACGCAGUGAAGGGCCGCACCAGGACACGUUUCAAAGUGUUUGGAUGAGCUGUGGUUAGCGGUGAAAUGCCAAUCGAACUCGGAGAUAGCUGGUUCUCCUCGAAAUAGCUUUAGGGCUAGCGUCAUGUGGUAGCAAACGGGGGUAGAGCUCUGUAAAGGACUGGGGCUGGCAACGGUACCCACCCUUAACAAACUACGAAUACCGUUUGUGGAAUCAUGGCAGUUAGAACGUCGGGGCUAAGCUCGGCGCUCGAAAGGGAAACAGCCCAGACCAUCGUCUAAGGUCCCUAAAUGUACACUCAGUGGGAAACAAAGUGGAGUUUCUUAAACAGCGAGGAUGUUGGCUUGGAAGCAGCCAUUCAUUUAAAGAGUGCGUAACAGCUCACUCGUCAAGAGAUUCUGCGUGGAAAAUGUAACGGGGCUAAAGUGUACUACCGAAGACAUGGAUUGUACGCCUAGCGUACAGUGGUAGAGGAGCGUUCCUCUCUGCAGUGAAGCAGUAUUGGAAAGUAUUGUGGAGCGUGAGGAAGUGAGAAUGCUGGAAUGAGUAACCAUAAGAUGGGUGAGAAUCCCAUCGGCCGAAAGAGCAAGGUUUCCUGGACUAUGAUAAUCAAUCCAGGGUUAGUCGGGCCUAAGCCGAGGCUGUUUAGCGUAGGCGAUGGACAACGGAUUAAUAUUUCCGUACCGGUUAUACUUUGUAACAUGUGCACGGCAUAGUAGAUUAAGCGGAUUCAUGGUUAUAUCCGUCUAACAGGAGUAACGACCUGGAAUGCGAGUUUGCCUUCGGGCGAACGAGUUAGUCGAAAGUGCUGGCUAGAAAAGCAAUGUUACGCGUGGGUAUAGCCGCCCGUACCGCAAACCAACACAGGUGCUCAGGUCGAGUAGACCAAGGCUUACGAGAGAACCUUCGUUAAGGAACUCGGCAAUACAGCGACCGUAACUUAGGGAUAAGGUCUGCCCCGCACCAAUCGGUGUGAGUGAUAUAGAAAUAUAUCUGUAAAGCUGCGUUUUCUCAGCGUUGAGAUGAACGUAAGCGUGUCACGAAAGUGGCGCGUAAAAAAUGGUAUGAGUAUACCUUAUGUAAUCGAGAUCAACCGGACAACCGGAAGAUCAAUCAUCGUCUGAGACAGACGCAGCGACUCUCGUACCAAUUGGUGCGGGGCCGCAGCUAAAGAGCCCACGGAACUGUUUAUCAAAAACACAGGUCUCUGCUAACACGAAAGUGGAUGUAUAGGGGCUGACUCCUGCCCGGUGCCGGAAGGUUAAGGGGAGAGGUUUACGCUUUGAACUGAAGCCCCGGUGAACGGCGGCGGUAACUAUAACCGUCCUAAGGUAGCGAAAUUCCUUGUCAGGUAAGUUCUGACCCGCACGAAUGGAGUAAUCAUGUGGGCACUGUCUCAACGAAGGACUCGGUGAAAGUGCAUUGGCGGUAAAGAUGCCGUCUGUCCGUACCAGGACGAGAAGACCCCGUGGAGCUUUACUACAGUUUUACAUUGAAUCGGGUUACAACUUGUGUAGCAUAGGUGGGAGACUUUGAAGCAGAUACGCCAGUAUUUGUGGAGUCACCGGUGAAAUACCACCCUAGUUGUGAUCUUAUUCUCACGAUGACCGUUAUCCGGUUAUCGGACAGUGUAUGACGGGUAGUUUAACUGGGGCGGUUGCCUCCUAAAGAGUAGCGGAGGCGUUCAAAGGUCGGCUAGCUUCGGAUGGAAAUCGAAGUGAUAGUGCAUACGCAUAAGCCGGCUUGACUGUGAGGAGGACAUUCCAAGCAGGGACGAAAGUCGGAGUAAGUGACCCGCUGGUCGUACAUUUGUACAUGAAUGUGGGAUUGCCAGCGCAAUCGGAUAAAAGUUACCCCGGGGAUAACAGGCUUAUAGCGCCCAAUAGUUCACAUAGACGGCGCUGUUUGGCACCUCGAUGUCGGCUCAUCACAUCCUGGAGCUGGAGCAGGUUCCAAGGGUUCGGCUGUUCGCCGAUUAAAGUGGUACGCGAGCUGGGUUCAGAACGUCGUGAGACAGUUCGGUUUAUAUCCGGUACGGACGUCAGGAAAUUUGAGAGGAUUUGCCCCUAGUACGAGAGGACCGGGGUGAACGAACCUCUGGUGUAUCGAUUGUUCUACCAAGGGCAUUGUCGAGUAGCUAUGUUCGGAGCAGAUAAGCGCUGAAAGCAUCUUAAGCGCGAAACUGACCUCAAGAUUAGAUUUCCCUAUGAGGACACAGAUAGACGAUCUGUUUGAUAGGCGCAAGGUGGAAGUGCGGUAACGUAUGGAGCCGAAGCGUACUAAUAGUCCCAUUGCCUUUUUAUG